AAAGAGUUAGUUUAAUUUUUAAAAAAACUUUAAUUUGUCAAAUUAAUGAUACUAUUAGGUAUUCUUUU
rnacentral:tRNA from 1 species